rnacentral:rRNA from 1 species
AUGAUGCUCUGCAGGAGAGGUUGGGCAUGGUGCAAAGGAGCACAUGGAGGCUGCGGCGUAGCUGCAAAGCAAGAACCAUGGAGGCAGCGGCGUAGUUGCACAGCAGCAACCAUGGAGGCAGUGGCGACGGGGGUGGUGGCCGGCGUCUCCCUCUGUUCUUUUUGUAGCAAUCGACGUUGCUGCAUAGCGAGGGAUGCAGCAGACAGUGGUCUGUGUCGCACCUCACCGGCGCUGCGUUCGUCGAAUUGCAGCUUCGCCUGCUGCAAGGUCGUCGACACCGGUGCCGUGGUGGGGGCUUGGGUGCUGCUGUCGCACGGUUCGCAAAUAUCAUCGUCGCUGCAGACGGUUGUCCGGCGUUGCAUCUACUACGUGCGCUGGGACGAGUAG